rnacentral:rRNA from 1 species
CCUACGGGAGGCAGCAGUGGGGAAUAUUGCACAAUGGGCGCAAGCCUGAUGCACCCAUGCCGCGUGUAUGAAGAAGGCCUUCGGGUUGUAAAGUACUUUCAGCGGGGAGGAAGGUGUUGUGGUUAAUAACCGCAGCAAUUGACGUUACCCGCAGAAGAAGCACCGGCUAACUCCGUGCCAGCAGCCGCGGUAAUACGGAGGGUGCAAGCGUUAAUCGGAAUUACUGGGCGUAAAGCGCACGCAGGCGGUCUGUCAAGUCGGAUGUGAAAUCCCCGGGCUCAACCUGGGAACUGCAUUCGAAACUGGCAGGCUAGAGUCUUGUAGAGGAGAGUGGAAUUCCAGGUGUAGCGGUGAAAUGCGUAGAGAUCUGGAGGAAUACCGGUGGCGAAGGCGGCCUCCUGGACAAAGACUGACGCUCAGGUGCGAAAGCGUGGGGAGCAAACGGAUUAGAUACCCUGGUAGUC